GCGUAUCUAACCCAAGGAAGUCUGACCACUGUGAUCCCGGAAUAACCCAAGGGGUACCCCCCUUCCAGCGUCACCGGUGUCAGC
rnacentral:pre_miRNA from 1 species